AAUUCCUGCUUCUGUAAGGCUCACGAAGCCCAUUUCAUGUUUUUGUAGCGUCUCUGUCAUUCUGCACGCACUCUGCAACAAACCACUCAACAAUGGCUUCCAAUUCCAAAUCGGAGACUUUUCUGCAACGAAAUGGUUACGAUUUUCUGUUGGGAUCAAUCGCUGCUUUCUACGUACUCACCGUGCCUUACACUAAGGUCGAAGAGAGUUUCAACGUUCAGGCAAUGCACGAUAUUCUCUAUCACCGGCUGAAUUUAGACAAUUAUGAUCAUCUGGAAUUCCCUGGGGUGGUUCCUCGCACUUUCCUUGGUGCUUUGCUUGUGUCAUUAAUUGCAGCACCGUUUGUGUUAACUGCAAAUUUGCUGCAUUUGCCGAAGUUUUAUGCUCUUCUCAUAGUUUGGAUGGCCCUAGGGUGCAUAAUACUAUACACACUAAGAUUUUUUCGACAUCAGAUAAGGAAUAAAUUUGGGCAUCAAGUAGAAGCCUUCUUUGUGAUAUUAACUGCAACUCAAUUUCAUUUUCUGUUCUAUUGUACCCGUCCACUUCCCAACAUUCUUGCUCUGGGCCUAGUGAAUUUGGCAUAUGGAUACUGGUUCAGGGGACGUUUUUAUGCAGCUCUAAACUCUCUGAUUUUUACUACAACUGUAUUCAGAUGUGACAUGCUGUUGCUUCUUUGCCCUAUUGGGCUGCAACUUCUUUUGACAAAAAAAGUUUCUGUGUGGGGUGCUCUAAAACACUGCACUGGGAUGGCUCUCUUCUGCAUAGGUCUAACCAUAUUGGUUGAUUCAAUUAUGUGGAAAAGAUUAUUGUGGCCUGAAUUUGAAGUCUUUUGGUUUAACUCUGUACUAAACAAGAGCUCUGAAUGGGGAACACAUGCUUUCCAUUGGUACUUCACCUCAGCACUUCCUCGUUCACUACUUGCUGCAUUUCCACUUUCACUGUUUGGCCUUUUUGUAGACAGAAGGGUACGAUCUUUCACUUUUCCAGUUCUUGCCUUCAUUUUGCUUUAUUCUAAGCUUCCCCACAAGGAGCUUCGCUUUAUCAUAAGUUCAGUUCCAAUAUUUAACUUGUCUGCUUCAAUUGCUUCUAAUAGAAUUUACAACAAUAAGAAAAAGAUGGUUUGGAACUUGCUUUUCCUCAUUUUGUUGGGAUUACUUUUAAUGAGUCUUGCUGGCACCGUCACAAGUUUCAUGGCAUCAUAUUGGAACUAUCCUAGUGGGCAUGCGUUAAAAAAAUUGCAUGGAAUUGGCUUUCAUAAUGAUACAGAUGAACGGUGGGUGCACAUUGAUACAUUUUCAGCCAUGAACGGGAUAUCUCGCUUUUGUGAAAGUGAUUUCCCAUGGAGGCAGGUAGUGGAGGCCUUGAUAAUGUUGCUGAAGUAUGUAAUCUGCUUUCUCAAGUCCAGUAUGAGGUAUUUAGCUGACUGCAGCUUUUCCGAGCAGAGUGACAAGGAGCUGGAGCUAUUUAGGAUUAGUGAAUGUGUUUCUUAUUCCACUAAUGAAAAAACAGUAAACCUUGAUAUAUUUUCCUGAAGCUUACGAUAUUCAGGUUCAUUAGUUAGCACCUUAUCUCUAGCUGAACUGAGCCAUCCUUGUGGUUCUAGGGUUUACAUUUUUUAACAUCUAAUUGUAAGUGUCUUCUAUACCAUUCAUUUCUGUAGCUACCAAGUUCAAUUCUGGAUUUGAAUAUUAAGAGAGGGCGACUCCUCGUAACGUUCAUAUACUCAUGAUGAUUAUGAAGAUUGUUUUUUGCAUCUGCUACAUGGUCUGUGAUGUCCACAUGGAAAAAUUGUGGAAAAACUACACACAAAUGAUUAAAUAAGAAUGAGAUAGGAUGUUAUGGGGAAGAUUUAACUGUUAACGAGGUAUUCUAAAGAAGAACAAAUUAGCUUGCAAGAAUUUCAGCAGAGAAAUUUUACUUUUCUUAUAAAGUGAGUUAUCUAUUAACAUGAUGAUAGUGUUAUUUCCAGUACUUUGUCUGACACACAUAAAUUGGAUAACACAUGCUAUGUUUAUGAUGAGAGAUCCUACAGACUGUUGACACAAAGUGUUGGUAUCGUCAAGUGAGUAAGUCUGUGAAAUAAAAUUGAUAAACUUUGUACUUCAGAUUCGUCCUUGAAGAGUAUGUGUUGUUGGCAAGGACUGCAUCAGCAUGUGUUGUGUGCAUAAUGGUCAUUGCCGUGAACCAACUAUCCUACAAGCUUUAGUUUUAUGUAAAGACGCAUGAAUAGUUUUAUAUUACAUCUCAAUUAUCCCUUCAUGCCAAAUCCCUUAUGGCUUGAAGCGUGGAUAGUGUGCAAUCCCACCAGCCUCGUGCUUAAAUUUAACUUUUUAUUACAAAAAUUGGGGCAGCACAGAUUGAAAUCUAGAACACUAAGUCAUAGAAUCUUUGUUACCAUAUACUGGACCUAUUAUCCCAAAAUCUUGAGCUAUUAAAGUGAAGAUGCAUGAUGAUUUUAUAUUACGUCUCUAACUCCCAUAAUAUUUAACAAUUUGGCACUUGGAUGAAUAAAUUUUGUUUGACUUCUGUCAUCUUUCUGUGCUUGUGUGUGUAGAAUGUGAUAGAGAGAGAUGAAAUGAAUGUCUGGAGAUCUUGAAUUGGAAGUUUAUGUAUGAUUUCACAUGUCAAUUCACUGACUAAUUGCAAGAAAUUUCCCCCUUUCUCUGACGUCCUUGUUGAUCUUUAACAGUGAACAUCCUGUGAUCAAUGGAUUCAAGUGCCUAUUUAUUGAAGAUGGGUUCUCAAGAGUCCGCUUGAAACCUGGCUUUCCACCAAUUUUUCUGGUUAAAGAGCCCAAAGUGUAUGCCCAUGGAAAUUUAGAAAACCAGAAUCUUUUCA